CUCCGACCUCGGAAAGAGUCCUGGGUGCGGGAUUCCUGGUAGCCGACUCGUCGUCUGACCAGGGCCGUGCCCGCAUCUUCCUAAGGCACUGGUUCCGGCCCUGGGGAGACUGGAAUUGAGACGACAGGGCCUCCGCUGACCAGUCCUUGGACACAACGCGGAGCGGGGCUGAGGGGCCGCCCUGCCAGGCCUGCGCUGCCGUGCUUUUAGUGUUCCCUGAAGAAUACUAGGAAGAAAUGGAAAUCAGUGUUCUGAAGAACGGCACGGACUCUUAGGCAGUUCCAUCAGCAAGAACCUGAGUUUGAAGUGACAACGUGCUGUGGAGAGGCAAGGUUACAGAAUUACAGUACAUCGUUUGACUUCUGUGACACCGGCAUUAUUUUCUGGCGUGUGUGUGUGUGUGUGUGGCUAAGGUCGUAGGUAAUGCUAAUUUUUAAAUUUUUCCAACUUUUGUACAGUAAGUAGUUAGAAAAAAAAAUUGAGAGACAAUAUGCCAAUAGACAAUGGUCAGAUAACGAAUGACAAUAAACUGACUGCAGCCUCUGCAGUAACCGGGCAGUCGGCUGCUUGGGAAGGACGUGGUCAGGACUGCUUGCUCCUCUAUUUUUUGUACCACCCUCCCCAUGUCAGAACCAACCCAAGAAAGCGCUCCCCAAACCAGUCACAGAAAACAUCCUGCUUCUUGUUAGCUCACCUCCAGUUUCCAACAGCCUGCGGUCAGAACCACCUGGAGCCUUCCCCGUUUUCCACCCCCUGCGUCCUUGCGCCUACCCACACCGGGGAUGUUGCUGACUCCCUUGCUGUAGCAAGCUCUGAAUACUGUUUCUCAUUUGGGUGGUUUUCCUUCAUUUCUACGUUUGAGCUACUGUGGCUGAGAACAGAAAGCAUCUGCAAAAAAUGUUUUAUGCUUAAUGAAAGGAGUAGAAUAAAAAUUUCAUAUAUGACAUCAGUUAAACUCUGAAAAAAAAUACAGAAUAAACACCAAAAUACUGAGUAAUCUGUAGCACUAGGAAAAAUUGUUCUACUUUUCUGUAUAUUUUUCUCCUUUUGGCAAUGAACCGGUAAUCCUUUAAAAAUUCAUGUAUAUAGUUUUUUUUCUUGGAAAUUAUAAGAAUGAUUUGAUGAGUGGUUUGAUGCAACUUAUAUUACUUGGUAAGCAGUUUUAAAAUAUUCAUGUUUACUUAUAAAAUUUAAAUUUUUUAUUUGUAUUAUCUAUAUAUUAUUUAAUGUUACUGUUCUGGUUGUUAAACAUUUUGAGUUAUCUUCCCAGGUUGAAUGAUUUAUGGAUUAAAGUACUAUUGUACAUUUUCGUACAUUGUAUCACGUGAAUAGGCCAGAUUCCUCUUUCCUAUUCUUUGGUUAAUUUCUUUGGUGUAUUCACAAGCUUAUACUUCCAUAUAUUAAAAACAUUUAUCUUACCUCUGUAAAGACAAAAAAUGGGAAAUAAAAAGCCAUUUAUCCAAAAAAAAAAAAAAAAAAAAAAAAAAAAA
rnacentral:lncRNA from 1 species